GGGCACAUGGUGUAGCUGGUUAUCACGCCCGCUUUGCAUUAUAACAAAAAUCUCGUUCUACGCUGCGGGUGGUCCUCGGUUCAAUUCCGGGUGUGUCCA